rnacentral:rRNA from 1 species
GACGAACGCUGGCGGCGUGCUUAACACAUGCAAGUCGAGCGGUAAGGCCCUUUCGGGGAUACACGAGCGGCGAACGGGUGAGUAACACGUGGGCGACCUGCCCUUAGCUCUGGGAUAAGCCUGGGAAACUGGGUCUAAUACCGGAUAUGACUCCAUGACGCAUGUUGUGGGGUGGAAAGCCUUGUGCGGCUAGGGAUGGGCCUGCGGCCUAUCAGCUUGUUGGUGGGGUGANGGCCUACCAAGGCGACGACGGGUAGCCGGCCUGAGAGGGCGACCGGCCACACUGGGACUGAGACACGGCCCAGACUCCUACGGGAGGCAGCAGUGGGGAAUCUUGCGCAAUGGGCGAAAGCCUGACGCAGCGACGCCGCGUGGGGAUGACGGCCU